GACGAACGCUGGCGGCGUGCUUAAUACAUGCAAGUCGAACGGAAAGGCCCGGCUUUUGUGGGGUGCUCGAGUGGCGAACGGGGGAGUAACACGCGAGUAACCUGCCCUUGACUGUGGGAUAACUCCAGGAAACUGGGGCUAAUACCGGGGAGGAGCUCCUGCUGCACGGGGGGGGUUGGAAAGAUUCGGCGGUUGGGGAUGGACUCGCGGGUUAUCCGCUUGUUGGUGGGGUAGUGGCGUACCAAGGCUUUGACGGGUAGCAGGCCUGGGAGGGUGACCGGCCACAUUGGGCCUGCGAUACGGCCCAGACUCCUACGGGAGGCAGCAGUGGGGAAUAUUGCACAAUGGGCGGAAGCCAGAUACAGCAACGCCGCGUGCGGGAUGACGGCCUUCGGGUUGUAAACCGCUUUCGCCUGUGACGAAGCGUGAGUGACGGUAAUGGGUAAAAAAGCACCGGCUAACUACGUG
rnacentral:rRNA from 1 species